rnacentral:piRNA from 1 species
GGUUGAGCUUAUCAAGAAUGGC